rnacentral:rRNA from 1 species
UACAGAGGUCUCAAGCGUUGUUCGGAUUCAUUGGGCGUAAAGGGCGCGUAGGCGGCUUGGCAAGUGGAUGGUGAAAUCCCUCGGCUUAACCCGAGGAACUGCCGUCCAAACUGCUUUGCUUGAGACCGGGAGAGGUGAGUGGAAUUCCCAGUGUAGCGGUGAAAUGCGUAGAUAUUGGGAGGAACACCAGUGGCGAAGGCGGCUCACUGGACCGGUACUGACGCUGAUGCGCGAAAGCGUGGGAGCAACGGG